rnacentral:lncRNA from 1 species
CCCUCCCCCCUAUAUCUCAUCUCUCUCACAUAUUCUCUCAAAGACGCGCCUGUAAACCCUAGGAGCCGCCUCCAUGUCCAACCGCCUAAGGUGGCGGCGCCGCUUCCAUUCACCACAAGAAUUACACCCCCGAACCCCCAAGCCCACCUCAUUCCACAUCCCUAUUCCGUUUGCCUCAAAUCGUGUCUGAAUCUUUCGAAUAAUAGAUUAAAGGUGAACUUCAAAAUCCAAAUUUUCUUGUUCAAGUUUUCUGCGAAGAUUUUUGGAUCAUUCAGACUUUAUUCGUGUGUUCUGGUAAAGAGCUCACGAUUAAUCUCGGAUUGAGCCAUGAAUGGAAGAUUUGACGACAUGAAAGUUAUGGUUCGAAUGCUCACUGUCUAUGACCACUUUAGGUAUUUUCUUUCACUUUAGGUUGUUAAUUUUUAUCUUUUCUUACUUCCCAUCUUUGUCUGUCUAGCCCUUUACAGAUUUUCCCGUUUUGUUUUGUUUUCUAUGCCUGCUUGGUUGGUUCCAGACUUUUGUAGUUAGUAAUGGCUUCGGAGGUUUAGUUUGAAAACAUUUUCAUUUUUUAGGACCCAAAUUCCACGAGUCUUUAAGACUCUGUGGAUUGGCUUGUGAAUCUUGGGCUUUCAAUGUCAAAAGAGGGUUCUGAAAAUUAAAAUGCCCAAAAGGGAAUCAAUUUGGGUUUAUUCAGACCUACCUGCUUGGGUCAAUUGGACUCAGGCUUUGCCUGGUGUACAUGGGUAAAAAUAGAGGGUUUGAGGGGUAAUAUAGGAAUUUUAGGGUAGGGAAUCUUGUUAUAAAAGAAAUGAAAGCUUCUUAGAAGCUGGGGUGAGGGGCUGUUGGGAUAAUUUGAUAAUUACAUUAAGGGUUGUUCAGCAAAAAGGAAAAUUAGCUAGGGAUUCCUAAGCUAAAAUAAAAAUUCAAAAAUAACUAAAAUGCAAACCUGAUCCUUCUAUUGCUGCCAUAUUUCCUUGCCUAUAAAGGCACUUUUCCUUGCCUUUCAAAGCAAGAAUUAGAGAGCUGAAAAUAUAGAAAAAUACAGACGACUAAAAAUCGUUGUUUCAUUGGAUCUUUCCAUUUCAGUUAUUUUUCUUUCUUCUUUUCAAGUUUUGAAAUAAUCUAGACUCAUCUGAGUACAAAAAUGGGUUGAAUUUGGUCUUCAAAUUGGUGUAAAGUCUGUUGGUUUACUGUCUGAUUGGAACUAUUUUGCCCCACAUCAUUCUGGGUUGAAGUUGAUUCCACUAGUUGUUUUGCUGCUUAACUAUUGCUGACCUUACCUUUCUCUUACUGAAAUUUUGUAGCUCUUUUUUCGUUAUAUAAGGUAUCUACUUUGAUCCUUAAUAUUGUGAAGUAAACCUGUAGAUUGAAAUGAAAAACUGAAUUUGAAGCAUGGCAUUCUUAUGCUCUAUUGAUUUAAUAGUACUGCUUGAUUUUACAUUUGAAAUCUAUUUGAUGUAUCAAUAGAUUGAAUUUUAGUUCAAGUAAAUGAGUGCUAUUAGUAUGUUUGGCAUAGGGAUGCUAUGAAACUUGGGCCACACUUUGGCCAUUUGAGUUAGUAGUUGGACUUGGUAUUGUAUAAUUGGAUUUUAGCAUGAUCAUGAACUAUUGUGGAAGCCUGACUAAUAACAUAUUUAGUCAUAGUUGAUUAUAUUGUGCUCUCAUUAUUCUCAGUUUUAAUUGAAAUUCCUGUAUGCAUUUAAGUUUAGUCAUUAAAUCUCUUUGCAUGGAAGUUUAUUGAGGUUAUUGUUGUCAGCUUAUUUCAAAUGCUUAAGUCAAAAUUCCGUUUAAGUAUAAAAAGCCAUAGAAUGAGUUAGAAUGGAUGUUUUCAUGUCAGUUCCAUCUUUGAUUCUGGUAUUUAUUGCUUAAGGAGUGAGUUUAGUUUGGUUUUGUUAUAAUCCAAAUAACUAGCAUGUUGUGUUUGUGGAUUGAAUGGGGUCAAGAUUGAAAGGUCCUUGUCUGAUCUCUAAGAGGAAUGGGCAAGUCUAUUUUAAAAGUAGGCAUUUGAUAAUCUGCAAUCAAACAGCCUCACCUAAUAAUGCUUAAAGUGGCUUUGUGUGCUAAUCACGGAUUGUUAGUGAAACCUGUUGGCUUGUGACUAAAUGUGAAUGAAUCACUUUCUUUGGCGUAGACUCGAUAUUUGGUAUGUGAUCCUUAACCCUGGUCCAUCAUGGUUUGGGCUUAUUGUGUACAGGGCCUUAGGAGGGUCUGCCUUUAAAAGAAGUUGACAUUUUUUUGGGCUUGUUCUUUGAUCCCAGUAGCUCACUCGUCAAUUGUAGGUCUGUUUCCACAGCCAAGGCUGCCCAAGCAUGUGUGUAAUGUGGAGUCAUGGAAGCCUGAUAAUUAAUUAGUUUGCAAAAUCAGGGCUUUAAUUUGAUAAGUCAAGCCCAUUCUAUGGUAGAAUCAGUAAAGGCACAGUGGAUUUAGGAUUAACUUUAGAACUUUGGAAUUGGUCUCACAUUGCUUACUUUAAAUAAUUUAACGUUUGCAAG